rnacentral:rRNA from 1 species
AGUCGUAACAAGGUUCCGUAGGUGAACCUGCGG